AGAGUUUGAUCAUGGCUCAGGAUAAACGCUGGCGGCGUGCAUAACACAUGCAAGUCGAACGAUGAAACUUGUUUGAUUUCUUCGGAAUGAUUUUAAGUGGAUUAGUGGCGAACGGGUGAGUAACACGUGAGUAACCUGCCUUACACAAGGGGAUAGCCUUUGGAAACGAAGAAUAAUACCCUAUGAUGUCAAUUUAUCGCAUGAUAAGAUGACCAAAGAUUUAUCGGUGUAAGAUGGACUUGCGUCUGAUUAGCUAGUUGGUGAGAUAAAAGCCCACCAAGGCAACGAUCAGUAGCCGGCUUGAGAGAGUGUACGGCCACAUUGGGACUGAGACACGGCCCAAACUCCUACGGGAGGCAGCAGUGGGGAAUUUUGCACAAUGGGGGAAACCCUGAUGCAGCGACGCCGCGUGAUUUAGAAGGCCUUCGGGUUGUAAAAAUCUUUUUUAUGGGAUGAAAAUGACAGUACCAUAAGAAUAAGGUCCGGCUAAAUACGUGCCAGCCGCCGCGGUAAUAC
rnacentral:rRNA from 1 species